GCACGGCUGCAAGGGUCUGUUAGGACGGUUUUGUGAGGACCAAAAUCCGAUUUCGAGUUUGAUCGGCCGAAGGGUAGACAAAGAGGAGCUAAGGUGAGACGUCCAUGGCAUGACAGCGAGUUUCCGGCAUGCACUCCGGGAAAAAGAUCCUCCACUUCUGGCUCUCGGGCGGGCUUAUCCUGCACCAUCUGCUUCGACGCUCUCUGGUUUUUCUAUUGAAAUUCUGGUAACCCGUUUGUAAACCAAGCCUCACAUCUGGUCUUUUCGCACAGCAGAAGCAGCUUCAUCCCAUUGGAAAGAAUUGUUUGGCACUAUAAAUGACCAUUGAAUCAAUAGUUUCCUGUUUCCUUGGAUAUACAGAUGAUGGUGUAUUAUAGAGAAAGAAACCCAGUUACCCAGGUUAACCCAGUUUUCAUAUUCAACUAACCAGAGUUGUCUCAGAUUUUAGGUUGUGGUAAAGGCUAGCAAAUCACUGCAUGGAGAUGGGGAUGGAAGUGAUCCAAAAAGGGUCUUGGUUCUGUAUCCAUCACUUUAAUUAUCACUUUGCAGCUUUAUUACUUGUUCCUUUAUUUAUUUA